rnacentral:rRNA from 1 species
UACGUAGGGGGGCUAGCGUUGUCCGGAAUCAUUGGGCGUAAAGCGCGCGUAGGCGGCCAGAUAAGUCCGGUGUGAAAGUCACAGGCUCAACCUGUGAAUGCCGCUGGAAACUGUCUGGCUAGAGUCCGGAAGGGGCGAGUGGAAGUUCCUGGUGUAGCGGUGAAAUGCGCAGAUAUCAGGAGGAACACCAAUGGCGAAGGCAGCUCGCUGGAACGGUACUGACGCUGAGGCGCGAAAGCGUGGGGAGCGAACAGG